UACGGGGGGGGCAAGCGUUGUUCGGAAUUACUGGGCGUAAAGGGCUCGUAGGCGGCCAACUAAGUCAGACGUGAAAUCCCUCGGCUUAACCGGGGAACUGCCUCUGAUACUGGAUGGCUUGAGAUUGGGAGAGGGAUGCGGAAUUCCAGGUGUAGCGGUGAAAUGCGCAGAUAUCAGGAGGAACACCGGUGGCGAAGGCGGUUCUCUGGGCAUGUCCUGACGCUGAGGAGCGAAAGUGUGGGGAGCGAACAGG
rnacentral:rRNA from 1 species